rnacentral:rRNA from 1 species
GGUAAAGGGCUUACCAAGGCGAUGAUGCAUAGCCCGGUUGAGAGACUGAUCGGCCACAUUGGGGACUGAGACACGGCCCAAACUCCUACGGGAGGCAGCAGUAGGGAAUCUUCCACAAUGGACGCAAGUCUGAUGGAGCAAACGCCGCGUGAGUGAAGAAGGUUUUCGGAUCGUAAAGCUCUGUUGUUGGUGAAGAAGGAUAGAGGUAGUAACUGGCCCUUUAUUUGACGGUAAUCAACCAGAAAGUCACGGGCUAACUACGUGCCAGCAGCCGCGGUAAAU